rnacentral:rRNA from 1 species
AUACGGAGGGUGCAAGCGUUAUCCGGAAUCAUUGGGUUUAAAGGGUCCGUAGGCGGACUAUUAAGUCAGAGGUGAAAUCCCACAGCUCAACUGUGGAACUGCCUUUGAUACUGGUAGUCUUGAGUUAUAUGGAAGUAGAUAGAAUGUGUAGUGUAGCGGUGAAAUGCAUAGAUAUUACACAGAAUACCGAUUGCGAAGGCAGUCUACUACGUAUAUACUGACGCUAAGGGACGAAAGCGUGGGGAGCGAACAGGAUUAGAAACCCCGGUAGUCC